GGUUAAGCGACUAAGCGUACACGGUGGAUGCCUAGGCAAUCAGAGGCGAUGAAGGACGUGCUAAUCUGCGAUAAGCGUCGGUAAGGUGAUAUGAACCGUUACAACCGACGAUUUCCGAAUGGGGAAACCCAGUGCAAUUCGUUGCACUAUCGUUUGAUGAAUACAUAGUCAAACGAAGCGAACCGGGGGAACUGAAACAUCUCAGUACCCCGAGGAAAAGAAAUCAACCGAGAUUCCCCUAGUAGCGGCGAGCGAACGGGGAGCAGCCCAGAGUCUUAAUCAGCAUUAGCAUCAGGAGAACGGUCUGGAAAGUCCGGCAGUAAAGGGUGAUAGCCCCGUAUCCGAAGGUGUUAGUGUUGUGAACUCGACGAGUAGGGCGGGACACGUGUUAUCCUGUCUGAAUAUGGGGGGACCAUCCUCCAAGGCUAAAUACUCCUGAUUGACCGA
rnacentral:rRNA from 1 species